GGAUACAUGAAAUCACCUAUAGCUUAUUUUAAAUUUUUUUGCGCCAGGUUUGUGAAGUAAUUUACGCGCCAAAAAGUAGCAGUUCCAAAAACAAAAAAGCAUAUACGAUUUGCAAGAAUGAUAUGUUCUAUGUUUAUGGGAUAUUUCGUACAAACGAGAUGGAAAUUAAAGAAAUUGAAGCAUACUGGCACUUUUGCAUGCAUUUUUGACAGGCAUGCAAAGACAUUUGCAACAGAUGCCGGGAGAUACGUUGGGUGGGGGCGACAUACUGUAAGGUUCCAGCACAUUAGGGACCGUUCAUUAUUUAUACUUGGGGUUGGUACCGAAGAGAAGCGAAAAACACUGUAAAUUUUUUAUUUACCCAACCUCAACAAUGGUCAAAAUAAUGUGUACCCAACCCAUGUGUUACUGUACUUCAUAAUAAUUAAACACACAAGAUUAUGGUGACAGAAAUCAAGUUGCCUAAAUUCUAAAAGCUCACUCACACUCACUGAGUGUGCCAAAGCAAUCACGUUCUUGCUGAUCAAUGACAGAGUCCUUCCUCAAUCACAUAUAUGGUCUAUUUUGGUACAGAAUGUAUUGUACACAUUUUUCUUCAUAUUUUCAAUGCUUGGUAAUUUUGGUUUUAUUUUAUUUUAUAGCUGACAGACAGCCAUAAAUUUUUUUACCCAACCCAUGAGCUAGUCAAAAACUUGAUUACCCAACCAAUAUCUCUUCGGUACCAACCCCGGGUAUAAAUAAUGAACGGUCCCUUACCCUGAUCCAGGAAAUCCUGGCCACUACAUGAACGUGUUCAAGACUCCGAAUACGCUGAAUGAUGGACAACAACAACCUGUUGAUAAUUUCACCCCUAGAGCCAAUUUAAAAUGUUUUAAAGACGGUGCAUUUCAUCUGGCGCUAGUGAGGUGAAAGAAGCAGCAGAUCGGUAUUUUUGUUGAGGAGAAGCACAUGCUUGAGUAUAUCAGACAUCUUGAGGAACUGCAAAUUGUAUCUAUGAUAAGAGAGAAUUCCGGAUUGUACUCCUUCGAUUCCGAAUUCUAGAGGGAGGGGGGCAUUGAAAAUUUUAAAAACUUGGAGGGGGGCAUCGAAAUUUACCGAUAACCUCAACAGGGGCCCUGUAAAAAUAUGAGCUUUUUUCAAGACAUCUUCAUCCCCCUCCCUCGGUGUAAUAAAUGUACUUCCCUUAGCAUAAUAUAUCUAACCCAGAAUAAGAACAUCUAUACAAUGUGAGAGGUGCAACUUUAAAUAAUAACA